rnacentral:ncRNA from 32 species
UGCAUAAAAAGUGAUGGAACCCACUUUAACCGCCGAAAGGCUGAUGGUUCCUACUUGUGA